rnacentral:rRNA from 1 species
GUAGGUGGCAAGCGUUGUCCGGGAAUUAUUGGGGCGUAAAGCGCGCGCAGGUGGUUCUUUAAGUCUGAUGUGAAAGCCCACGGGCUCAACCGUGGAGGGUCAUUGGAAACUGGAGAACUUGAGUACAGAAGAGGAAAGCGGAAUUCCACGUGUAGCGGUGAAAUGCGUAGAGAUGUGGAGGAACACCAGUGGCGAAGGCGGCUCUCUGGUCUGUAACUGACGCUGAGGCGCGAAAGCGUGGGGAGCAAACAGGAUUAGAUACCCUGGUAGUCCACGCCGUAAACGAUGAGUGCUAAGUGUUAGGGGGUUUCCGCCCCUUAGUGCUGCAGCUAACGCAUUAAGCACUCCGCCUGGGGAGUACGGCCGCAAAGGCUG